AAAAGAAGCUUUCCUAAUUCAUUAGAACAUCAGUUCUCCCCAGACAUAAUGUUCAUCAUGGAAGUACUUUUCCCCUUUGGAGAUCACUGGAAACAGCUUCUGGACCACAAAUGGGGUGAACUACUGUAUCGAGAAAGGAGAGAGUAAGACUUGAGAGCUAUCUUUUUAGCUCAGGGUGCAGGACUGGACUAAGAACUCAGUUAAGUGAAGCAAGCAAGAAUUUCCCAAGUGAUGCCAACUCAAAAUGAAUUAUAUCAAGAAAGGAAAAGCAGCUUUUUCAUCUGGAAAGAACUGGAGACCUUGAACCUAGGCAGCAUGUGCCUUGAACCUAGGAUCAGUAAACAACAAGGAUGGAAAAGACAGUAAGAAUUUGGUCAGAUCACCAUAUCUUUCCGUUGUGCCUUUAGAACAAAAGGAAAGAAAAUAUCUCUUUGGCUCACAGAGAAAAUAUGUUGAGAAAUGAAGUACAACCCCUCACUGUGCUGGGCACAGAGCAGGUGCUCGGUAAAUAAAUAGUGUACGUGUUCGCUGAGUAA
rnacentral:lncRNA from 1 species